AUAUGUUGCCUGGCGCGGGGUUCAAGGUGAUCAAGAAUGUUCUGACGCCGGGUGGAGGCUUAUCAUCACACCUCGGUGGGUUGAAACUCGCGAUGGACCCUAAUUGGGUGCUCUCUGGCCGGUAGUUUUUGUCAGUAGAGGGCCUCACGGUCCUCCC
rnacentral:snRNA from 15 species